GUUUGAAAUGCAAUGUCACCAAUCAUGACGAAGUUCACUAAAUUUAAAAGUAGAUAUCUUUCUUUUGAUUGGUUCAAUUCCAAUCCAAUCGCAAUUUAUAGUAUGAAAUGGGCUUUAAGAUCACGUUUUUUUAACAUACGCGUGCGCAUGGACAUGUAACCACAGUGCGUGCUCUUGUCGCCGCGUUCUGUAAACGCGAUAAAUUCCCUAACCUUUGAAAUCGGUAUCUUUAACGUUAAAUAAUUCAUCUUGCAGAUCGUCGCGUUUUUCUGCCAGAUGUUUACGUUUCGCGAAAAAUCGUGUCGAAUAAGCAUAAAGUUGAUCGGGACUUGAGAUGAGGUAGCUAAAGUAAACAAUUAUCGUUGUCAUUUGACAUAAGGACCGCCGCGGGAAACGGCUGACUUUUGUUUGUCCUCGCGCAGGUCGAGAUCCUCGAGCAGAAACUUACCAGCUUUGCAGAUAUCAAUAUCCAAAUCUCCGGUAAUAGCAUGCGAAAACUUAGAUCUCGACAAUCGAUGAUUUUCACCAGCAGACAAAUGGUCGUGAAUAUCAAGAAUGGUUUCAUCUCGACGACGAAAACGAUCUUGAAUAC